CAAAAAAUAAGUCUCAGUUCGGAUUGAAGGCUGAAAUUCGCCUUCAUGAAGCCGGAAUUGCUAGUAAUGGCAGGUCAGCAUACUGCCGUGAAUACGUUCCCGGGCCUUGUACACACCGCCCGUCACACCAUGAGAGUUGGAGAUACCCGAAGCCUAUGAGCUAACUUUUAGAGGCAGUAGUCGAAGGUAGAAUCAAUGAUUGGGGUGAAGUCGUAACAAGGUAGC
rnacentral:rRNA from 1 species